GCAGUGAAAAGGGCAUUUUUACAUCGCAUAGGAAAAGAACACAGUGCAUAGAAGCAUUGCAAGAAAAGGUGAUCUUCCAAGAUGGAGAUUAUUUUGUGCGUCUUGAUAACUUUGACUAUCUUAAGUGGUGGAUUUUCAUUUCUAGAUGAAAAUAAGCUUGUGGAACUAAACUGGUAUAUGACGACAAAGAUAGCGGAUAUUAUCACCGAAGAAGUAGAUAUUAUAACACAAUAAUAUGACAGCAGAUCAACGGGACUGUGAAAAUAAAAUCUCUCUGGUAUCAGACACUUGUUUUGAAUGCAGCAGAUUAAUUGUUCAACAAGAAGAAAAAAAUGCGGAACUUUUGCAAAAAGCCUUGGGUAAGCU